rnacentral:rRNA from 1 species
UACAGAGGGUGCAAGCGUUAAUCGGAAUUACUGGGCGUAAAGCGUGCGUAGACGGUUAUGUAAGUCGGGUGUGAAAGCCCCGGGCUCAACCUGGGAAUGCCAUUCGAGACUGCAUAGCUAGGGUGCGGAAGAGGGAAGCGGAAUUUCCGGUGUAGCGGUGAAAUGCGUAGAUAUCAGGAGGAACACCGGUGGCGAAGGCGGCUAUCUGGACAGAGUCUGACGCUGAGGCACGAAAGCUAGGGGAGCAAACAGG